rnacentral:rRNA from 1 species
GACGAACGCUGGCGGCGUGCCUAAUACAUGCAAGUCGAACGCACAGUUUAUACCGUAGCUUGCUACACCAUAGACUGUGAGUUGCGAACGGGUGAGUAACGCGUAGGUAACCUGACUGGUAGCGGGGGAUAACUAUUGGAAACGAUAGCUAAUACCGCAUAAUAUUGAUUAUUGCAUGAUAAUUAAUUGAAAAGUGCAAUUGCAUCACUACCAGAUGGACCUGCGUUGUAUUAGCUAGUAGGCGAGGUAACGGCUCACCUAGGCGACGAUACAUUGCCGACCUGAGAGGGUGAUCGGCCACACUGGGACUGAGACACGGCCCAGACUCCUACGGGAGGCGGCAGUAGGGAAUCUGCGGCAAUGGACGAAAGACUGACCGGACAACGCCGCGUGAGUGAAGAAGGUUUUCGGAUCGUAGAGCUCUGUUGUAAGAGAAGAAAGGGUGUGAGAGUGGAAAGUUCACUCUGUGACGGUAUCUUACCAGAAAGGGACGGCUAACUACGUG